rnacentral:lncRNA from 10 species
AUUACAUGAGGGAACAAAAGCAUGUUUUUAAAUAUUAUAGAUUUUAACUAACAUUAAGCUUAGUGUGUGAAUCAGGAGUUACAAUCACCAGAGAAAUUGACAUCUUAGGCAUUGUUCAUGAAAGCACAGCUUUUAACAGAAUGCUUAGGGUCUACUUGGUGUUAGACUACUCUAGAAAAUACCUUUCUGUUCUUGGCUCUUCACCAAGAAAUGGAAGGAGAUACAGGUGAAAGAACUGAUCAUAUUGAGCCUGAAGAUGAGAUGCAAGGGAACUGUAAUCAUUGUCUGAAGACAUUUGAAGAAUCAGCCUGUGGAAUAAUGUGAACAUUUAUGGAGGACAUCUCUAAGCAUUUGACAUUGAUUAACUCAUAAAAUCUAAUAAUGACUGAAGUUAAUAUUGUUGUCAUUCCAGUUGGAGAUCAGGAAAGUAAGGGUCAGAAAGGCUAAAUGAGUAACUUGCUCUGAGUCAGCUUAGAAAUGGCAGAGCGUGAGCCACCACACCCAGCUCUAAAGUCUUUUUUUAACCUUUUUAUUUUUUUAAAGAGAUGAUAGCUCGCUAUGUUGCCCAGGUGUUCUCAAUCUCCUAGGCACAAGCUAGUCCCCCAAACUGCUGGGAUUACAGGUGUGAGCCACUGUGCCCAGCCUCUAGGACUAAAUUCUUGGCCAUUGUGCUACACUACUUGGCACUC